GCAUUGAAGUGGCAGUGAUGUG
rnacentral:miRNA from 10 species